GACCGCCUUGGCAUCAAGACGCUUUGACAACUAUGCAUACAAUACCUACACCUUGACUUUUUGUCGUUUUCUAUAGGCUCUUCAUGUUUCCAUGCUAUAUCUCCACCUCCACCCUCAGCCAUUGUGCUACAAUCUUAAACUUUUACACUGUUACAUAAAAAAUGCACACAUUAUUAGCUUUUCAACAUCAUUUCAAACUCCUAAAAC